UAGACCAAAUGGGGACGGGGAUA
rnacentral:piRNA from 1 species